ACCCAGGCCCAGAUCCCCUCACUCUUAUGGAUUCUUAAGAAAGUUUCUCCGGAAGCUAAGCAGGGUCAGGCCUGGUUAGUACUUGGAUGGGAGACUACCUAGGAAGAUUAGGUGCCGUAGGUG
ensembl:rRNA 5S_rRNA 5S ribosomal RNA